rnacentral:rRNA from 1 species
CGGCCGCCGGCCGGACGUCCUCGAGGCGGACCGAGCCGGAGCGCUCGCGUCGGGACCCGAAAGGUGGUGAUCUAUCCGUGCGCGCGGCGAAGCCGGGGAAACCCCGGUGGAGGCCCGUCGACGGUACUGACGUGCAAAUCGUUCGUCCGACGUGCGAAUAGGGGCGAAAGACCAAUCGAACCUCCUAGUAGCUGGUUUCCGCCGAAAUUUCCCUCAGGAUAGCGGCCAUCGCGGAAACGUUUUGACCGGUAGAGCGAACGACUAGAGGUACCGGGGCCGUAACGGCCUCGACCUAUUCUCGAACUCCGAACGGGCAAGGAGCCGGGGUCGCCCGAUCGGACCCCGGACGUGAAGUCGACGAUGGUCGGUGGGCUGGUUUUGGUAAGCAGAACGGGCGAUUCGGGAUGAACCGGAAGCGGGGAGAAAGGGCCCGAGAUUGCGUCGACGCGGAUCCCGAAAAGGGCGUCGAUCCGUCGCGACAGCGGGACGGUGGUCAUGGAAGUCGAAAUCCGCUAAGAAGCGUGUAAAAACGUACCCGCCCAACGGAUCGGCCCCGAAAAUUGAUGGCGCUCGAACGCAACCCUCGAACCCCGCCGACGGAGGCUAGGGGAGGC